rnacentral:rRNA from 1 species
UACGUAGGGUGCAAGCGUUUGUCCGGAAUUAUUGGGCGUAAAGAGCUCGUAGGCGGUUCGUCGCGUCGGCUGUGAAAACCUGAGGCUCAACCUCAGGCCUGCAGUCGAUACGGGCGGACUUGAGUACUGCAGGGGAGACUGGAAGUUCCUGGUGUAGCGGUGAAAUGCGCAGAUAUCAGGAGGAACACCGAUGGCGAAGGCAGGUCUCUGGGCAUUAACUGACGCUGAGGAGCGAAAGCAUGGGGAGCGAACAGG